rnacentral:rRNA from 1 species
UACGUAGGGGGCUAGCGUUGUCCGGAAUCAUUGGGCGUAAAGCGCGUGUAGGCGGCCCGGUAAGUCCGCUGUGAAAGUCGGGGGGCUCAACCCCUCGAAAGCCGGUGGAUACUGUCGGGCUCGAGUACGGAAGAGGCGAGUGGAAUUCCUGGUGUAGCGGUGAAAUGCGCAGAUAUCAGGAGGAACACCAAUUGCGAAGGCAGCUCGCUGGGACGUUACUGACGCUGAGACGCGAAAGCGUGGGGAGCAAACAGG